GUUUGGGACUCGAAUGGACCCGUGUGCAGCGAGCCCAAUGCUGGGCACAGGAGACAUGAUGUACCCAUGUGGACAAUGUGCCCAUCUGGAGACCUCAUCUGGCCUGCUGACAUCAGAGUGGUUCCGCUGUGAUGGAAGAAAGGUCUCCUCCCUCACACCAUCCCCUGACUCCCAGACACCUAACCGGACACAGAUCGGAUCCCCUGGAAGGGCAGGAAUACCAACGUGUUGGAUUGAAGGAGAGAGAAUUGGAGUGGUUCCCUUCAAUUCCCUCUCUCCAUUGGUGCCCAGAGGUCUCCUGUCUGCCUAUCACAGACAUGCAGAGACCUGGAAACAGCACCAGGAGAAGUCAAGUCUGCUGCAUGCCAUGUGACCUUGGCCAAGUCAGUCCCUUUUUGGACCUCAAGAUCCUCCUAGGUAAAAGCAUGAGGUUAUACUCCCUAAGCUUUAAGGCUCUGUUACAGCUCCAUCAAACACUCCAACUGAGAUCACUUAUAUAAAAUGUCACAUCUUCCAGGGGGCUGUGUAUUUUGAAAGGCUCCCCUUGGAGAGGACAAUGCUUAAUUCAAAGAUGGGUGAAAUCUGGGGCACAGUACCAAGUGGUGGAGAGGAGAUGUGGUUCCAGGGAACGUCUCCAAUCCCAGCAGGUAGGGAACUGCUUCCUCUCCUACCUGGGACACUAGAAUCUCUGUCCUUUUUGAAAAGACACUGGCUUGGUGAAUCCUCACUGUGAAAAGCCCCCACCAGCUACCCUGCCCCACCCCUACACCCCCAUGGCAUGUAAUGGAAAAAGCCACACAGGCUGGACUCAAUCUUGGUCCACCCAUCCAAGCCUGGAGACUUUGAACAAGUCACAUCAUCUGCCUGAGCCCUGGUUUCCUCAUCUGUGAAAUGGGAGUUGUGGUGCUGUACCUCCCAGGGUAGUAAGAAAAUAA